rnacentral:rRNA from 1 species
UACGGAGGAUCCAAGCGUUGCUCGGAAUUACUGGGCGUAAAGGGCGCGUAGGCGGGAUGGCAAGUCGGUCGUGAAAUCCCUCGGCUCAACUGAGGAACGUCGAUCGAUACUGCCGUUCUUGAGGGUUGCAGAGGAGACUGGAAUUCCCGGUGUAGCGGUGAAAUGUGUAGAGAUCGGGAGGAACACCAGUGGCGAAGGCGAGUCUCUGGACAUUUCCUGACGCUGAGGCACGAAAGCCAGGGGAGCAAACGGG